UGAGAGGGCCGCUCUCCUCUCUGUGGACCCUCGCCUUGCCGCCCGGCGGGGCCUGGGCUCGUUCCUCUGCUGCCCAGUCCAGUCCCCACUAACAAGCCUCACCACAUGUCCAGGAAGCCUGCCUGCGUGUCCUCAGAGCGGCCAGCGAGCGUGCGGCGGAACCCCCCUGCAGUGGGCUUCUCAUCCCUCUGGGUCCUCCCCUUACACCAGACAAUGCCUGGGGCUCCUCCCUCCCGCGAGCCCUCAGCCUAGCCUUGUGUCCCUCAGACUCCCGGCAGCGCCCGAAGCGCCACAGCUGACGGCCUGUGCUGGCGGCUUUCCAGGACCGCUGGCACAGGGGGGGGCGAAGCCUCUGCGGUGGAGGCCUCUCCCUCCUUCCUCAGGGGCCUCACCCAGAAGCUUGGCAGAGCGUAGGAAUCCUCUCUCUUCUGGUCUCAGUCUGCACGUCUCAGAGACAACCUCCUGUCCUGCAGACUCCUGAGGGCGCUGACAGGAUCCCUGCUCUGGGGUGGAAAAGCCACUCAGUCCUGGCUCAGAGUCCUCACCUUGACUCCGGCACUGCCUGGGCUGCUUCCCUCGUGGGCUCCAGAACAAGCCGAUGCUCCCCGAGAACAUCAAGGCAGAAGUGAGCGAACGUUAUGUCAGCUACAACGUGCCACGGCUGCGGAGGGUUGACAGUAGAGGCAGGCAAGCUACCCUCCCGCUCUGAGAUUGUAGGCAUACCCGCAGACUUGUCCGAGAACAAUGGGCUCCAUUUCUUCUUGAGCUUCCCAAAUCAUGGCACUGAAUCAUCUGAAAACUGAAUUUCAGUGAUUCACCUGGACCACCAAGAAGGGACACCACCACCCAUGAACAACUAGGUUUGAGCUUCCUGCGCUGUGCCCACACGGCCAGCAGGGGGCGCUCGAACCUGCUAUUGCUGCCCGCGUGGAGCGCAUGCGUGGUCGGAGCCAAUGCAUGGUCCUUCCGCAAUGUCGGUUUGUUGAAUUUCUACAGUUUGGUUAUAUUUUUAAGAAGGAAUUACCCUUGGUUAAUGUAGACAAAUGGAUCAUAUGAGUCUUUGAGUUUGCUUUUGUAGGAUUGUGUGUAUAUGGCAAAUACCAUUGUGUACAUUUGAAACAACUAAAACUUGAAAUACAGACAAAUUCAUAAACAGAAAUUCUUUUAUCAUCUUGAUAGAAACAUAAUUAUAUGUGAAUUACCUAGUAGCCAUAAUGCACUUUUAAUAAAGUAGUAAUUGUUAUGACCACAGAGUACAAUGGAAAAAUACAGAGUAGGAAAACCUGACCCUACAAUAUAUAUUUUAAUUUAUUUUUGGUAGAAAUCAUAUUUUUCAUCAUCCCUUUAUGUAUGGAACAGGGCAGAGUUUUUGACUUGGGUCAUUUUAUUUCUGCUGCUAACUAGCUUUUAAAAAUAUUCACAGCUUGGGCUUCCCUGGUGGUGCAGUGGUUGAAAAUCUGUCUACCAAUGCAGGGGACACGGGUUCGAGCCCUGGUCUGGGAAGAGCCCACAUGCUGCGGAGCAACUAGCCCCAUGAGCCACCAUUACUGAGCCUGCGCAUCUGGAGCCUGUGCUCCGCAACAAGAGAGGCCACAAUACUGAGAGGCCCGCGCACCACGAUGAGGAGUGGCCCCCACUUGCCACAACUAGAGAAAGCCCUUGCACAGAAACGAAGACCCAACACAGCCAUAAAUAAAUAAAUAAAAACUAAAAAAUAUAUUCACAGCUUUUUUGAGGUAUAAAGGAUAUAUAAUAAACUGCACAUAUUUAACAUGUGAACUAUGAUAAUUUUUGACAUUUAUAUACAGAUGGGAACCUAUCCAUCAUCUCCAAAUUUUCCUCAUGCAACUUUGUAACCCCGUCUUUCCUGUUAAUCCCUGCUGCCUUUCUCCAACCUCAAACCAAGGCAAAUACUGAUAUGCUUUCUGUGACAAUAGAUCAGUUUAAAUAUUCUGGAAAUUUAUAUAGAUGGAAUCAAACAAUACACAUUCUUUUCUGUCUUCUUUCUUUCACUCAGCGUAAUUAUUUUGCGAUUAAUCCAUGUAGCUGUGUGUAUUUUUGCUUAUUCAUUUCUAUGGCUGAAACGUUUUCCACUGUAUGGAUAUACCAGAUUUUCUUUAUCCAUACCCUUGUUGAUGUACAUUUUGGUUGUUUCUAUAUUUUUUGCAAUUAUGAGUAAAUCUGUUAUGAAUAUUUGUGUAUAGUUCUUUGCAUCACACAUGUUUUCAUGUCUCUUGGAUAAAUACCAAGGUUUAGAACGGAUUGAUCAUGUGGUAGUAAAUGUUUAGCUUUUCACGAAUCUGCUAAAUUGUUUCCCAAAAUGAUUGUGCCAUUUACAUUCUGACCAGAAGUGUAAUAGUGUUCCAGUGAGCUACAUCCUCACGGACACAAUAUCAGCAGUAUUUUCAAUUUUAGACCUUCUAAUAAGUACACAGUAGAAUCUAAUUGUGAUAUAGCAUUUCCCUAAUGACUAAGCAUCUUUUCAUGUGCUUAUUUGCCACCCCUAUAUCUUCUUUGAUGAAGUGUCUGUUCAAAUCUUUUGCUUGUUUUUUUA